rnacentral:lncRNA from 1 species
UUCCGCUUCGGUGUCCACCAAACACUUCAACAAAGGCGUCACAUAACCCCUUCGGUAUAGAUCAUCCCCCACCAGGCAAUAUCGAGCUACUUGCUUAGCAUCUUCCGCACUAAGGGUUGCUCCUUCAUCUUGCUUCCGGAUCAGCUAGAUGAUUCCUGCUCUCCAAUCCUUCUGCACCCCAGACACAGUCACGUUGAAGCAUUCGACCGUUGGUUUUGUUAAGACUUGCCUUAUCACUGUAGAUAGCCC